UGAGCUGGUGGGCAUCACUGGGGGCUGCGACGUCUCGGCCAGGAGGCACCCCUGGCAGGUCAGCCUGAGGUUCUACAGCAUGAAGAAGGGUCUGUGGGAGCCCAUCUGUGGGGGCUCCCUCAUCCACCCAGAGUGGGUGCUGACCGCCGCCCACUGCCUUGGUGCGGACAUCGCCCUGCUGAAGCUGGAGGCCCCGGUGCCGCUGUCUGAGCUCAUCCACCCGGUCUCGCUCCCGUCUGCCUCCCGGGACGUGCCCUCGGGGAAGACCUGCUGGGUGACCGGCUGGGGUGUCAUUGGACGUGGAGGCUGCCCUGGCCCCUCAGCUUGUGGGAGGCGACGGUGAAGGUCAGGAGCAACGUCCUCUGUAACCAGACCUGUCGCCGCCGCUUUCCUUCCAACCACACUGAGCGGUUUGAGCGGCUCAUCAAGGACGACAUGCUGUGUGCCGGGCGACAACGGGGGCCCCCUCCUGUGCAGGCGGAAUUGCACCUGGGUCCAGGUGGAGGUGGUGAGCUGGGGCAAACUCUGCGGCCUUCGCGGCUAUCCCGGCAUGUACACCCGCGUGACGAGCUACGUGUCCUGGAUCCGCCAGUACGUCCCGCCGUUCCCC
rnacentral:lncRNA from 1 species